rnacentral:misc_RNA from 1 species
GAUGAAGAACGUAGCGAAAUGCGAUACGUAAUGUGAAUUGCAGAAUUCAGUGAAUCAUCGAGUCUUUGAACGCACAUUGCGCCCCCUGGUAUUCCGGGGGGCAUGCCUGUCCGAGCGUCAUUUCUGCCCUCAAGCCCGGCUUGUGUGUUGGGUCUCGUCCCCCUUCCCGGGGGGGCGGGCCCGAAAGGCAGCGGCGGCACCGUGUCCGGUCCUCGAGCGUAUGGGGCUUUGUCACCCGCUCUGUAGGCCCGGCCGGCGCUUGCCGAUCAACCAAAACUUUUUUCCAGGUUGACCUCGGAUCAGGUAGGGAUACCCGCUGAACUUAAGCAUAUCAAUAAGCGGAGGA